CCUACGGGAGGCAGCAGUGGGGAAUAUUGGGCAAUGGGCGCAAGCCUGACCCAGCAACGCCGCGUGAAGGAAGAAGGCUUUCGGGUUGUAAACUUCUUUUCUGAGGGACGAAGAUAGUGACGGUACCUCAGGAAUAAGCCACGGCUAACUACGUGCCAGCAGCCGCGGUAAUACGUAGGUGGCAAGCGUUAUCCGGAUUUAUUGGGUGUAAAGGGCGUGUUGGCGGGAAUACAAGUCCGAUGUGAAAACUCAGGGCUCAACCCUGAUCCUGCAUUUGAAACUGUUUUUCUUGAGUGCUGGAGAGGCAAUCGGAAUUCCGUGUGUAGCGGUGAAAUGCGUAGAUAUACGGAGGAACACCAGUGGCGAAGGCGGAUUGCUGGACAGUAACUGACGCUGAGGCGCGAAAGCGUGGGGAGCAAACAGGAUUAGAUACCCCUGUAGUC
rnacentral:rRNA from 1 species